rnacentral:rRNA from 1 species
UGGGCAACCUGCCCCAGACACAGGGAUAACCCCGGGAAACCGGGGCUAAUACCGGAUACUCCGGUCGAACCGCAUGGCUCGAUCGGGAAAGCUCCGACGGUCUGGGAUGGGCCCGCGGCCUAUCAGCUUGUUGGUGGGGUAGUGGCCUACCAAGGCGACGACGGGUAUCCGGCCUGAGAGGGUGACCGGCCACACUGGGACUGAGACACGGCCCAGACUCCUACGGGAG